GGGCCCGCACAAGCGGUGGAGCAUGUGGUUUAAUUCGAUGAUACGCGAGGAACCUUACCAGGGCUUAAAUGUAGAAUGACAGAUUGGGAAACCAGUCCUUCUUCGGACAAUCUACAAGGUGCUGCAUGGUUGUCGUCAGCUCGUGCUGUGAAGUGUCGGGUUAAGUCCCAUAACGAGCGCAACCCCUACCUCUAGUUGCCAGCGAGUAAUGUCGGGGACUCUAGAGGGACUGCCGGUGCAAACCGAGAGGAAGGUGGGGAUGACGUCAAAUCAUCACGGCCCUUACGUCCUGGGCUACACACGUGCUACAAUGGUAUGAACAAAGGGCAGCCACCUGGUGACAGGGAGCGAAUCCUUAAAUCAUAUCUCAGUUCGGAUUGGAGUCUGCAACUCGACUCCAUGAAGCUGGAAUCGCUAGUAA
rnacentral:rRNA from 1 species